CUUUUGAGAGGCUGUGAGUCUGGAUCCAUGGCCUGAGGGCAGCACAGGGCUGAGCUCUCUGCUGUGUAAUGAGGUAUGUCAGGUCUCUGCAGCUUCCCUUUGGGGUUUCCCUGCCCAAGCCCCCAUGCUGCAAACCUGUGACCCUCCAUGCUGCCAAAUGGGGUGUCAGGGGGUUUGGGACUGUGGUGCUGGGCAUGGUUUGCAGGAGGACUCAGUGAUACUGAUGCUGGUUGUUUAUCCCUCAAGUCCAGAAACUCACUGGAAAGGAAAGGGAGGGGAGAGCCGGGGCUGUUCCAGUACUGAAGCAGAACAGAUAUUCCCGGGUGUACCCAGAGAGAGCCCCAGUGUGUCCCCAUAUGCAUAGGCCCAAUGGUCCUUGACCUCCAACUUCACCCCUUCAUUCCCCCUCCAGCUCUGUGGUGGCUCAGAAAGAUCAGGGACCUGCUGGUGGCUUGGCACAGGACUGGACAGUGACAGACCUGGGCUGCAGCCCAGAGGAGGACCAAACCUCUGGAUCUCAGCUCCAACGAGGUUCCAGCAUAUCGGAGCUGCUGCCAGACAAAAAGGAAGAGGAAGACGGGAGCACUGCAGCCACAGGGGAGGCAGAGAGCAGUGUCAGUGUGGCCAUGCCACCCCAGACCUAGACCACCUAGAGCUGCUGCUGAGAGAAGAGAAGGGACCAAUGGGGAUGAAACCUUCUCCAGCAGCUCACGGUGACCUGGCCAGCCUGGGGUGGACCUAGAGCCCAGGGUUCCUCUCCCAUGGGUGAGGUCUGGAGUCCCAUGUUCAGCAAGGAACUCGUGCUCCUGUCUGCAUGGCCCCCUGGGCUCGAGCUGUCACAAUAAAGCACUGAGAAUCUC